CGAUGGCUACCCCCACCCAAUGGUUCUGUGAAGAUUAAUGUCGAUGCUGCUAUGGUAAGAUCACAACAUGGAGGAGCCAUCGCGGCAUUCUACAGAGAUCAAACGGGCCAAUACUUGGGAUCUUCGGUUGUGGUCUUUCGAGGCAUCAAUGACCCUCUAAUUCUAGAGACUUUUGCAUGUCGUGAAGCGUUAUCACUAGCAGAUGAUCUCGUCGUCCAAAAUAUUUGUGUAGCAUCGGAUUGCCAAGAAGUGGUUAAUGAUAUUACCAAGGGUACGGGAGGUCCAAACGCGACCAUAGUACAUGAAAUUUUAAGCUGUUGUAAUAGUUUCAAUUCCAGUUCCUUUAUUUUUGAGCAUAGGAACUUUAAUUUUGAGGCUCAUAAUAUUGCCAAGUUUGCUUGUAACCUAGGCGUAGGUAGAUGA
rnacentral:rRNA from 1 species